rnacentral:rRNA from 1 species
CAGUCGCCGCGGGAAUACGAAGGGUGCAAGCGUUACUCGGAAUUACUGGGCGUAAAGCGUGCGUAGGUGGUGGUUUAAGUCCGUUGUGAAAGCCCUGGGCUCAACCUGGGAAUGGCAGUGGAUACUGGCUCGCUAGAGUGUGUCAGAGGAUGGUGGAAUUCCCGGUGUAGCGGUGAAAUGCGCAGAUACCGGGAGGAACGCCGAUGGCGAAGGCAGCCACCUGGUCCACUUCUGACGCUGAGGCGCGAAAGCGUGGGGAGCAAACCGGAUUAGAUACCCGUGUAGUCCCUGUCUCUUAUAC